GUUUGGGAAAUGCCUUUAGCCAUUUCCAACAGGUGACUAUCAACCUUUUGAUGAAACUCUUGAUAUUAUGACGUGCUGGAAUUGGUUCCCAGCAUUGUUGAAUAGAUGAAUGCAAGGAUUUGGCACCAUCUACCAGCUAUUAUCCACAGGCAGUUGAGCUUUAUAUCCCUUUUGGUUCCUUGUGCCUUGGAAUCUUGGGGGAGGAGUGGGGGUCACUUAUCAGGUUUUGCUGGGCCCAAAAAGCUCAAUCUUUGCCUGGUGCCAUCUCUAGAAGGAAAGGGAGAACUUGGAAAUCAGAUAAUCUGAUGCAAACAAGACAGGGAACUCACUACUUCUUAUACAACCCAGAACAUUGAGGGAAAUGUCAUUUUUAGAAAAUUCUGAGAUUGUUCAAGUUGAGAUCAUGCCAUGUACCUUCACUAUUCCUCGGUUGGUUCUAGAGCCAGCCUUGGUUUCCCUGGACUUUUACCUCCCCAGUGACAGUGACCAGGUGGGAGGACCAGCCGCUGAACACCAGGAUUGUACCCGGCGUCCAGGAUAAUGUUGACUGAAGUACGGAUCCAUUAGCCCAAGCCAGGACCACAGUGAUGGAGCUUCCCGAGGCUUUUCCUGUUCCACCCACACUGCUGGGAAGAUGAAGAGAGGACCUGAGGGACAAUACUGAGUUGUUUUUUCAGAGACAAUAGAACAAAACUGCAAGUCAGGCGGCAGAGGAAAAAAAUGUUGCAAAUUACUCAUCGAACCAGAUUUCCACCUUUGCCCAUUCCUCUACCUCUCAUCCCCUAUCUCCAUCCACCAUCCCCCGCCCAUGGAGCCAAAGGACCGGACAUGAUCAGGACCUGAAUACCAGAACACUUUCAGAGGCCACUGUCCAGGCAGUCCCCGUGCCGACCCCUCAAGCCCAUGCCCCAAAACCUGGAUCGGGGAGACUGAACUCCUUGCUCAUGGACUUCACAAUAAAGCUUUUUUCUUUUCUCAAAA